rnacentral:misc_RNA from 1 species
UCUCCGUAGGUGAACCUGCGGAGGGAUCAUUACCGAGUACGGGUGCUCACGCGCCCCGACCUCCAACCCUUUGUUGUACCAAGUACGUUGCCUCGGGGGGCGACCCGGCCUUCGGGCGUCGGGGCCCCCGGUGGACCAUCAACGCUGCAUCUGUGCGUCUGAGUGAUUAAUCAAUCAAUUAAAACUUUCAACAACGGAUCUCUUGGUUCUGGCAUCGAUGAAGAACGCAGC